rnacentral:rRNA from 1 species
AUUAACUUACACUAAUAAACGCCAGGGAACUACGAGCCAUGCUUAAAACCCAAAGGACUUGACGGUGUCCCAUACCACUAGAGGAGCCUGUUCUAUAAUCGAUGAUCCCCGCUAUACCUAACCAUCCCUUGCUUUAUCAGCCUGUAUACCUCCGUCAUAAGCCUACCAUGUGAACGUCAACAGUGGGCCCAAUGGUUUGUAUAACCAAAAUGCCAGGUCAAGGUGCAGCUCACGGAAUGGUAAGUAAUGGGCUACAAUUUCUAAUCUAGAACAAACGGAAAGCUAUGUGAAAUCACAGCCUAAAGGUGGAUUUAGUAGUAAAAAGAAAAUAGAGUGUUCUUUUUAACCCGGCCCUGGGACACGUACACACCGCCCGUCACCCUCUUCAAUAGCUCUCAUUCAUGUAUAUUACACUAUAUCUGCGUUUUAGAAGAGGCAAGUCGUAACAUGGUAAGUGUACUGGAAAGUGCACUUGGUUAACAAUAUGUAGCUUAACUAAAGCCCCCCGCUUACACCGGAGAAAUGUCUGUUCAACUCGGACCAUUUUGAGCCCUAAAUCUAGCCCACACAACUUCCUAUACCACUACCCCUCAACCGCCAAUAAACAAAACAUUUUAACAAUUUAGUACAGGCGAUCGAAAAUUUUAUAAGCGCUUCAGAUAAAGUACCGCAAGGGAAUGAUGAAAUAGUAGUGAAAUAACCUCAAAGCCUAAAACAGCAGAGCYUCUCCCU